CUGGGUUAGUCGGGACCUAAGGAGAGACCGAAAGGUGUAUCCGAUGGACAACAGGUUGAUAUUCCUGUACUAGAGUAUGUAGUGAUGGAGGGACGCAGUAGGCUAACUAAAGCAGACGAUUGGAAGAGUCUGUCUAAGCAGUGAGGUGUGAAUUGAGUCAAAUGCUUAAUUCUAUAACAUUGAGCUGUGAUGGGGAGCGAAGUUUAGUAGCGAAGUUAGUGACGUCACACUGCCAAGAAAAGCUUCUAGCGUUUAAACAUACUCUACCCGUACCGCAAACCGACACAGGUAGUCGA
rnacentral:rRNA from 1 species